AUAUCUCUCUGUACGGGAAGGAUGAGAAGCUUCGACCAAGGUUCGAUUCGAGCGCAGCGAGAACGCGUUGCCGCAGGCAACGACCCGAAGGGCGAAGCGCGCAGCGCUGAGUCAUCCUUCCCCCACCACCA
rnacentral:sRNA from 3 species